UACGGGGGGGGCAAGCGUUGUUCGGAAUUAUUGGGCGUAAAGAGCUCGUAGGCGGCUUGUCGCGUCGGCUGUGAAAACUCGGGGCUCAACCCCGAGCCUGCAGUCGAUACAGGCAGGCUGGAGUCCGGCAGGGGAGACUGGAAUUCCUGGUGUAGCGGUGAAAUGCGCAGACUAUCAGGAGGAACACCGGUGGCGAAGGCGGCCAUCUGGACCGGCACUGACGCGUGGAGGCGCGAAAGCCGUGGGGAGCGAACAGG
rnacentral:rRNA from 1 species